ACCUUGCCUAUUGGGUGGCCCUGCUCAGUACAAGAGGAACAGCAGAUUCACACAUUUGGUGUUUGUGCUUGGAUGUGAAACCAGUGGGACAAUGCUACCAUCUGUGGGAUUAUGACCCGCCCAGAGCCUCAGGUGGCCUCGGAGAUCCAGUCCCCCUGGCAUCCCGCCCGACACCUGCCAGACCUAGGUCGAUGUGGAGUGCUCCUCAUUCCAGGAAGGAGAGGGAGGGGUGGAAGCCCCACCCACUCACCCCCACCCGUCAAGUUACUGGGGAGCCUGAUGCUAAACCACUGAUAGAUGACCUGCUUCUGGUUAGGGGUUUCCCACGUAGCAGAGCAGCUCCCUGGCUUUUUUCUAUUAAGUCAGCUCUGGACACAACGGUUU
rnacentral:ncRNA from 1 species